rnacentral:tRNA from 1 species
UAAAAGAUAAGCUAAGUUAAGCUGGGGGCUCAUAACUCUCCUAUGAAUUUUCUCUUUUAU